rnacentral:rRNA from 4 species
CAGGUUUACCUGUGUGACUGCGUACCUUUUGUAUAAUGGGUCAGCGACUUAUAUUCUGUAGCAAGGUUAACCGUAUAGGGGAGCCGGAGGGAAACCGAGUCUUAAUUGGGCGUUAAGUUGCAGGGUAUAGACCCGAAACCCGGUGAUCUAGCCAUGGGCAGGUUGAAGGUUGGGUAACACUAACUGGAGGACCGAACCGACUAAUGUUGAAAAAUUAGCGGAUGACCUGUGGCUGGGGGUGAAAGGCCAAUCAAACCGGGAGAUAGCUGGUUCUCCCCGAAAGCUAUUUAGGUAGCGCCUCGUGAAUUCAUCUCCGGGGGUAGAGCACUGUUUCGGCUAGGGGGCCAUCCCGGCUUACCAACCCGAUGCAAACUGCGAAUACCGGAGAAUGUUAUCACGGGAGACACACGGCGGGUGCUAACGUCCGUCGUGAAGAGGGAAACAACCCAGACCGCCAGCUAAGGUCCCAAAGUCAUGGUUAAGUGGGAAACGAUGUGGGAAGGCCCAGACAGCCAGGAUGUUGGCUUAGAAGCAGCCAUCAUUUAAAGAAAGCGUAAUAGCUCACUGGUCGAGUCGGCCUGCGCGGAAGAUGUAACGGGGCUAAACCAUG